AGCCAGCUCCCCUGAACUGUUCCUGAUCAGGGGUGGGCUGCUGCUGCCGCUGAUCCCCGCGGCUGAGGGAAGAGUCUGGUUACCAAAGGCUCGUCUGGGGUUUGCAUGUGAGUAUCCAGAGGCUCUGUGCUCAGUGCCACCCUGCCUUUCCCUCUCUCUAGCUGCUUCUGCCACCCGCGCCACAGACACAGUCACUGCAUUCUUUAUGGCGGCCCUGAUUUCCUUUGUGUCUUCUAGUUUAGUGCAAUGGGCUCUUGCUCCAGUACUGUUUUCAGAAUUUAGCUUGAGUUUAGAAUUGUAUACAUGCUCGUGCUUGACUAAAGGGAAAAACAGAAACAACAACAACAACAAAAUCUACACUCAAACUGCUGGAAAAAAACAAAAACAAACAAACAAACAAAAAAACGGGCUAUAGAUGGAAAACAUCCCCUCCUCCUUACUUCCAUCUUUUCUUGAGUUUGUGGACUGACUGGAGAAGCACCGCCCGUCAGCUGCUGAUCAAUUGCACAAACCUACAUCACAGUUCGCAAAACUCAAAACUCGGGAAGAGUCUGAAACCUGAGGCCUGUCCUGGAUCAGAAAGACAAAAGAAAGACUACAACCACCUGGGGACCAACCAACCACAUCCUUCAUUUUCCUGCAGCUUCUUGGUUCUUAAAGUGGACACAGGAAAAAAAAAUCCCCAUAAAAAAAAUGCCAGCAUAUAUUUCCUGAGCUCUACAAAGCUUGAAACUUUGUUACCAAGAUACCUAGCUACAUGGUGUAAAUUAUGGUGUUCCAGAUAUCUUUUAUUAUCUUCGGCCCUCGGUUUUCAUUUGUAAAGUGGGUAAUAAUAGCAGUUGUUACGAAAUUAAAUGUAAUUCUUCUUAAAGUGCACCGGCCUGGCACAAAAUGAAAACCCCAUUAACUCUUACUUGCUAGUAAGAUAGAGAAAUGGAAGAUUCACUCGUUUAUUAAAGGAUAUUGAAUUCUUACCAUGAGCCAGGCAGUUUAUUUGUGCAUUUUGCCUAUGUGUACUUAUUUGACUAAUUUUAAGUUAUUAUAAUUAAUUAAAUCUAUUUAAAUAUGGAUUUAAAAUAAUGUUUUAUUUUUCAGAAAAACAUCUGAAGGCUUAAAUUACAGCAAGUUGAUUUGCUCCGAAUCACACAGGGAUUUGGUAAUGAAGCUGAAAAGUCAUUCUCUCAAUGGCCCUUGGCUCAGUAGGACAAUGGCUUCUGCUUUGAACAGACACACCUUGGGAAGCCUGGCAGUGUGCUGUGUGUGUGUGUCUGCAUGCAUAUGUGUGUGUGUGUGUGUGUGUGUGUGUGUGUGUGUGUGUGUGUGUGUGUGUGUGUGUGUGUGUGUGUUUGUGAGUGCGUGCGUGCAUGUGCAUGUGCGUGUGCGUGUGCGUGUGUGAGUGUGUAGGGUGGAGCUGCUCUAGAUUCACAGGCCUAGCUUUUUGAUCUCUGACUGGAAAUCAGACUGGGCAAGUGACAGGCUGAUCGCCAGGGGUCACCAGAAAUGACACUCCUGGUGUUUCACUCUCUUUGGGUGGGAUGAGAUGAUCUGGAAAAAGAUUCUAUGACUGUUUGGUGCCUCGGGCCACAGCUGGGCUAAUUUUCAGUAAUCUUGGAGCGGAAGAGAGAAAUACAGUUGGCAUAUUUUUAAAGCCACAGCUCUCGCUUUGUGCCCAAAAUAACUCUGCCAUUUCUAGGUUAAGAGUAUAAAGGCAUCACGUGCUCCAAAUCCCGAUUCAAACAUUGGAAUGGCUGGUCUCAUACCUUCCCACUUCCCUAGCUUG
ensembl:processed_transcript Gm10544 predicted gene 10544